GGGCUCACACAAGCGGUGGAGCAUGUGGCUUAAUUCGAGGCAACGCGAAGAACCUUAUCCUGGGUUUGACAUGUACGGAUGGCUCGCCUGAAAGGGAUGAGUCUGCCUUCGGGUGAAACGUACACAGGUGCUGCAUGGCUGUCGUCAGCUCGUGUCGUGAGAUGUAGGGUUAAGUCCUUUAAACGAGCGUAACUCUUGUUUUUAAAAUUUACUUUUAAUUUUAAUUUGUAUUAAAAAUUUUGUUUUAAAAAGACUGUUUGUUAAUUAAAACUUGAAAGGAAGGUGAGAAUUAAGUCAAGUCACUGUGGCCCUUAUGGGUUGGGCUACACACGUGCUACAAUGAAAAUGACAAAAAGUAACAAAAAUUUUAGUUAAUCUUUAAAAAUUUUCUUAGUUCGGAUUGUAAACUGCAACUCGUUUACAUGAAGUUGGAAUCACAAGUAA
rnacentral:rRNA from 1 species